rnacentral:rRNA from 1 species
GAUGAACGCUGGCGGCGUGCCUAAUACAUGCAAGUAGAACGCUGAAGCUUGGUGCUUGCACCGAGCGGAUGAGUUGCGAACGGGUGAGUAACGCGUAGGUAACCUGCCUCUUAGCGGGGGAUAACUAUUGGAAACGAUAGCUAAUACCGCAUAAAAGUCGAUAUCGCAUGAUAUUGAUUUGAAAGGUGCAAAUGCAUCACUAAGAGAUGGACCUGCGUUGUAUUAGCUAGUUGGUGAGGUAACGGCUCACCAAGGCGACGAUACAUAGCCGACCUGAGAGGGUGAUCGGCCAAACUGGGACUGAGACACGGCCCAGACUCCUACGGGAGGCAGCAGUAGAGAAUCUUCGGCAAUGGGGGCAACCCUGACCGAGCAACGCCGCGUGAGUGAAGAAGGUUUUCGGAUCGUAAAGCUCUGUUGUAAGAGAAGAACGAGUGUGAGAGUGGAAAGUUCACACUGUGACGGUAACUUACCAGAAAGGGACGGCUAACUACGUG